GUUACCCUACGGGGCGCAGCAGUGGGGAAUAUUGCACAAUGGGGGAAACCCUGAUGCAGCGACGCCGCGUGAGUGAAGAAGUAUCUCGGUACGUAAAGCUCUAUCAGCAGGGAAGAAAAAAAGUCCUUUGGACUUUGGACGGUACCUGACCAAGAAGCCCCGGCUAACUACGUGCCAGCAGCCGCGGUAAUACGUAGGGGGCAAGCGUUAUCCGGAUUUACUGGGUGUAAAGGGAGCGUAGACGGCAGCGCAAGUCUGGAGUGAAAUGCCGGGGCCCAACCCCGGAACUGCUUUGGAAACUGUGC
rnacentral:rRNA from 1 species